AUUGAACGCUGGCGGCAGGCCUAACACAUGCAAGUCGAACGGUAACAGGAAGCAGCUUGCUGCUUUGCUGACGAGUGGCGGACGGGUGAGUAAUGUCUGGGAAACUGCCCGAUGGAGGGGGAUAACUACUGGAAACGGUAGCUAAUACCGCAUAACGUCGCAAGACCAAAGAGGGGGACCUUAGGGCCUCUUGCCAUCGGAUGUGCCCAGAUGGGAUUAGCUAGUAGGUGGGGUAACGGCUCACCUAGGCGACGAUCCCUAGCUGGUCUGAGAGGAUGACCAGCCACACUGGAACUGAGACACGGUCCAGACGCCUACGGGAGGCAGCAGUGGGGAAUAUUGCACAAUGGGCGCAAGCCUGAUGCAGCCAUGCCGCGUGUAUGAAGAAGGCCUUCGGGUUGUAAAGUACUUUCAGCGGGGAGGAAGGGAGUAAAGUUAAUACCUUUGCUCAUUGACGGUACCCGCAGAAGAAGCACCGGCUAACUCCGUG
rnacentral:rRNA from 1 species